UACACCCACUAUCCGCCCGGGAACUACGAGCAAAAGCUUAAAACCCAAAGGACUUGGCGGUGCUUUAGAUCCACCUAGAGGAGCCUGUUCUAGAACCGAUAACCCCCGUUCAACCUCACCUUUCCUUGUUUUUCCCGCCUAUAUACCGCCGUCGUCAGCUUACCCUCUGAAGGUCUAAUAGUAAGCAAAACUGGUAAAACCUAAAACGUCAGGUCGAGGUGUAGCGUAUGGAAGGGGAAGAAAUGGGCUACAUUCGCUACUACAGCGAACACGGAGGGUGCACUGAAACGUACACCUGAAGGAGGAUUUAGCAGUAAGCGGGAAAUAGAGCGUCCCGCUGAAAUCGGCCCUGAAGCGCGCACACACCGCCCGUCACUCUCCCCGAAAACACCCACUCAGUUAAUUAAAACCUAAUAAUCAUAGAGGGGAGGCAAGUCGUAACAUGGUAAGUGUACCGGAAGGUGCACUUGGAAAAAU
rnacentral:rRNA from 1 species